GACGAACGCUGGCGGCGUGCCUAAUACAUGCAAGUAGAACGCUGAAGGAGGAGCUUGCUUCUCCGGAUGAGUUGCGCACGGGUGAGUAACGCGUAGGUAACCUGCCUGGUAGCGGGGGAUAACUAUUGGAAACGAUAGCUAAUACCGCAUAACAGUAGAUAUCGCAUGAUAUCUGCUUGAAAGGUGCAAUUGCAUCACUACCAGAUGGACCUGCGUUGUAUUAGCUAGUUGGUGAGGUAACGGCUCACCAAGGCGACGAUACAUAGCCGACCUGAGAGGGGGAUGGCCCACAUGGGAAUUGAGACAGGCCCCAGAUUCCAAGGGAAGGCACAGGAAGGGAUCUUCGGGAAAGGACCGAAGGCCUGACGAGCAAAGCCGGGGUGAGGGAUGAGGGUCUCGGGAUCGAAAGAUCCGUUUUAAGGGAAGAAAGAGUGUUGUAGUGGAAAGUUCACAUUGUGACGGUACCUUAUCAGAAAGGGACGGCUAACUACGUG
rnacentral:rRNA from 1 species